rnacentral:snRNA from 1 species
AUUUUUAGCAUUCCUUUUGGGU